rnacentral:rRNA from 1 species
CAGCUAGUUGGUGGGGUAAGAGCCUACCAAGGCGACGAUCGGUAGCUGGUCUGAGAGGACGAUCAGCCACACUGGGAUUGAGAACGGCUCAGACUCCUACGGGGGGCAGCAGUGAGGAAUUUUCCGCAAUGGAGGAAACUCUGACGGAGCAACGCCGCGUGCAGGAGGACGCUUUUCGGAGUGUAAACUGCUUUUCUGUGGGAAGAGGAAGGACGGUACCACAGGAAGAAGCCCCGGCUAACUACGUGCCAGCAGCCGCGGUAAUACGUAGGGGGCGAGCGUUGUCCGGAGUUACUGGGCGUAAAGGGCAUGCAGGCGGUCGGACGCGUUUUGUGUGACAGCGGGUGGCUUAACUACCCGAGUAUGCGAAAGACGGUUUGACUUGAGGGCUCGAGAGGGACACGGAAUUCCGGGUGGAGUGGUGAAAUGCGUAGAGAUCCGGAGGAACACCGAAGGCGAAGGCAGUGUCCUGGCGAGUGACUGACGCUGAGGUGCGAAAGCUAGGGGAGCGAACGGGAUUAGAUACCCCGGUAGUCCUAGCCGUAAACGAUGACCACCAGGUGUGGGAGGUAUCGACCCCUUCCCUGCCGGAGUAAACACACUAAGUGGUCCGCCUGGGGAGUACGGUCGCAAGAUUAAAACUCAAAGGAAUUG